rnacentral:rRNA from 1 species
CCUACGGGUGGCAGCAGUGGGGAAUAUUGCUCAAUGGGGGAAACCCUGAUGCAGCGACGCCGCGUGAGUGAAGAAGUUUCUCGGUAUGUAAAGCUCUAUCAGUAGAGAAGCAAAUGACGGUACCUGACUAAUAAGCACCGGCUAACUCCGUGCCAGCAGCCGCGGUACUACGGAGGGGGCAAGCGUUAUCCGGAUUUACUGGGUGUAAAGGGGGCGUAGACGGGAAGGCAAGUCAGGAGUGAAAGCCCGGGGGUUAACCCCGGAACUGCUCUUGGAACUGUUUGUCUGGAGUACAGGAGAGGUAGGCGGAAUGCCUAGUGUAGCGGUGAAAUGCGUAGAUAUUAGGAGGAACACCGGUGGCGAAGGCGGCCUGCUAGACUGUAACUGACGUUGAGGCACGAAGGCGUGGGGAGCAAACAGGAUUAGAUACCCGAGUAGUC